CAGAGGGUGCAAACGUUGCUCGGAAUCACUGGGCGUAAAGGGCGUGUAGGCGGGAAGGUAAGUCGGGCGUGAAAUCCCUGGGCUCAACCCAGGAACUGCACUCGAAACUACUUUUCUUGAGUGCCGGAGAGGAAAGCGGAAUUCCUGGUGUAGAGGUGAAAUUCGUAGAUAUCAGGAGGAACACCAGUGGCGAAGGCGGCUUUCUGGACGGUAACUGACGCUGAGACGCGAAAGCGUGGAGAGCAAACAGGAUUAGAUACCCUGGUAGUCCACGCCGUAAACGAUGAGCGCUAGGUGUCGUGGGUAUUGACCCCCACAAUACCGAAGCUAACGCAUUAAGCGCUCCGCCUGGGAAGUACGGUCGCAAGACUA
rnacentral:rRNA from 1 species